rnacentral:tRNA from 1 species
GGCUUCAUAGCUCAGUUGGCUAGAGCGUUGGCUGUACUAAAGCCUUCCCCUUGCUGGCGUGGGUUCGAAUCACACCGAGGCCG